AUACCUUUCUCGGCCUUUUGGCUAAGAUCAAGUGUAGUAUCUGUUCUUAUCAGUUUAAUAUCUGAUACGUGAGGCAUUGCCUCACACGAUAUUAAAUUAAUUUUUCUCUCGGGGAAGGUUCACCACAGUAGCUUGCUAUUGGGACCUUCAUGAGUCGCCAAUGCGCUGCACUACUGCACAGGCCUGGCUCUCCCCAU
rnacentral:snRNA from 1 species